GGGAACUCUGUUUGGUUUUCUCCGCAGAUGGAGAGUAGAUGGACCCAGAUUCAUCCGCUUUUUCACGGAUGGUGGUGGUCUUUUGACUCCUCGCUUGCUCGAGGUUAGUCAUCCUUCUUUCUAUGUUGUCCAUAAAACUGAACAACCUUUCCUCCAAGGUGGGUGGAUCCUUGGGCACUAUGUGUUCCUCGAUGUGUGGAGGAACCGAGUUUGUUUGAUCAGGUCGAGCAUUGUUGGGUCCCUUUGGUCGGGAUUGCUUGCCCUGCUCCAGCUCAGUUGCUGGCAUUUUACCCUUACUUCUUGUGACGUAAGGGUGCUUUUGUUUUUCGACGAUGGCCAUGAAAACAAAAGCGGAGAAGUACCAAAGCGGGGAGGUGACCUGACUGAGCUUGUUCGGAAAAACAAAAAAUAAGUCGGCGAGUUAGGGGAAAACUCAGCGACUUUAGAUUUCAAGGUGUUUUUCGAACAAAGUCGUGGACAGCACUCUUAGCUAGCAGACGAUAUUCCGGAUCGGACGAUUCUCAAGGAUAAGUCGGCGAUUUAAGGUUAAAUCGAACCUGGAUCAAGAAUCGGACGAUCUAACUCGGCGACUUAUUUCACAAACUCGGCUAAACCUCUAGGAGAGCUCAAACCGGAUUUUGCAAAAAAAUCGCGAUUACGACGGGAUACCGGUGGUUCGGUUGUCCCACAG
rnacentral:lncRNA from 1 species